GUGGUGCGGCGCCGUCGUCCACGUGCUCCUCCUGAAGCUCCUCCUCUCCACCACGGGUGGAUGCCUGGUGAGGCCAGCGUCCCCUCCACACUCAGGUGCUCCCCCGCUUCCCUUUGUCCCCUCUUUCUCUCUUCCCCUGACCCUCUCUUUCUGUUACACAUGAGGAGAACCGUGGUGGCAACACAUCAGAUUUGCUACGAAACACAACUUAGUUCUGAAAAGAAGAAACAAAGCUGAUUAAAUCCCCUAUGCAUCUGCUGUUUGUUUGCUGAUUUACUGGGUAGAUCUUGAACUGGACAACACAAAUGAGGUGGCGUUAGUGGCAUGGAGAUCCUCGUGUUGGCUGUCUUGUUUGUCUAGGUACUGUUCUGAACAUCAAUUAGUUCCAUGGGGCUAAAUGGUACUGUAAUCUGGCUUUUGUAAAUGAUACUGUAAUCUGGCUUUCGUGGCCUAUAUAUUAUGUAGUAAAUAAGUUUGUUCCAUACCCCAUUAAUAUGAAUGCAGCUUGUCAAAUUGUUCACAUUGGUCGUCUAUUUGAUCUUAUUAUUUAGGUAUUAUAGGAAAGUAAGUAUGUACUGCAUUGAGCAAGCUCUUUCUAUCUAUGUGAUUUAUUUUUCUGUGGUUGAUGAACACAGUAGGAGCCUGGAUCUUUUAACUACAGAGAUGGUGCAUAAAUAAGAAAAACAAUAAGUGCACUAAUGCUUUUCUGGAAUUCGAUUUAAGACAGAGAGGUUCAUGUGCUAGGCCAUCGACACACCUCUCUUCAAGGUAAGGUCAGUUCUAAGGUGAGCUCAUCCUAUUUUCUUUCUUCAAUCUCAGGCGAACAUUCGUCUCUCUAACCUACUACCUCUCUAUAGAGUUUAGAAAUCCGAAAGUCAGAAGAUGUAGGCCGAAUUAGUCAUGCAUUCAAAAGUUAGGGAUUUCAUGCUACAUGCAAAAUGUUUUCUAUUGGGCAGCAACACAUAACAUGUGACGCUUUAGGGCUGCUUCCUACUGGUUAUCGACAUAAAAUCUAUGAUUUUGUGAUGCCUAGCCUUUUACUGUUGGAAGGAGGAUAUUCAAUGUGGUUCUUUGCCCCCAUUUUUUAUCUAUAUUGCGUAAAAGUUCUUUGUGUUUUGUUGAUGGAAUAUUGAUACUCAGCUGUGUGCCAAUUUAUAACUAAUCAUAAAAGGGAGAAGAAUAAACUCAAGCACAUUGGAUAAAUGUAACUUGCAGAAAUUUAAUGCCCUCUUCUCCUUUGUAGGUCCCAAGUUGGUUAAUGUUGAUUUUGCUCAUGCACAACCCAUCAUAGGAGUCAGUAGGAUCAUCUUCGAUGGGUGUACGGACUGCAGUAGCUUUUUUUGUCCUCAUCAGUUAUCCGGUUUAAGGUGAGGUGGAUGGCGCACAAGAUGAAGGACAAGGGCGGCAGUGGCCCACAUGAGACACAACUCCUGCUGGUGGAGUGAAGGCCCCGGGGCCUGCGGCGGCGAGGAGGACGACGCGUCGUAGAUGGAUGGUGAGAAUGCUAAUGCUGUGGUUACUGGAGAUGAGAACGUGCAUCCUCACCAAACCUAGCCUAAGAGGUAGGAAAUCUCUCUUAGAUCAAAAUCAUUGGUUGGCAGUUGUUCUGUGUUAUUUGCCUCUUUAAUGCUGGAUACUGAAAUCUUGCUCACCUUGCUUGUUGACUACCAACAGAUUAUAAUUACCACUUAAUUAUCUCUUCUGAUUUGCUUCUUGCGCCAUCGGCGCAGUGGUUAAAUUUAUAAAUUGCUUUUCUUGCUUGUUAACACCGACAGCAGCAACAGCAACUUACUAUGUUCCAUUAAAGCAGAUAAGAAGAUAAUUUAGUUUGGGUAAAUUUAUUAAUUGCUUUUCUUCUCCAAACUCACAGACGUAGCUUUAACCAAAAAAGAAAAGGAGCAAGCUUGCUUAGCUUAAAAAAUAGAAGAUUUCAAAAUGGUGUGGUGAUAGAGUUAUGUUCAGUUUGGUGCUUUGGGCCAUUCUUGAUAAGCGAUUGGGUAGUGGUUGCUGUUUACUCACAAUGGAUGGAUUGGUGGGAAUGAGUUCAUGAAAGCAUACUGCAACUGUUUAUGGAAGUAGUUGUAUGAACAUGCGUGUUGUGUGCAAUUAAACUGAUCUGGUUGCUUACCCGCAAAAAAACUGAUCUGGUUGCUUGUCUUUGGAAAUCUUCACCUGAUAUGUUGUGCACUGGUCUGCAUUUAUAUUAGCAGUUGUGUUUUUAUUUGUUCCUUUUGUGUUAGUUUAAGGUGAGAACAAAGUAUUUAUAAUUGGGGCAUGGACUACAUAUUUAUAAUUGUAUCCAUGCUCUCUAUAUAAGCUAUGCAUUUGUAGUUGGAUUCUCUAUAGAGCUGAAAAUUACACUCGAAAUUAUCUAUUUUUAUGCUACAUGGUCGUGUAACUAUGGAUGGAAAUCGAGUUAAGGUAAAAUGGAAGAGGGAUAAGAAAUGCAGUUUCUAUGAGCGAAAUCAUCCUGAAACAUAUGCUCUUUUAUUAUUUAUGCUUCUAUGGUAUUGAGAUCAGUUAGUAAUGUUACACAUAAUUAUUUUUUCCAGCUGUGACCCUCACUCCGUUGAGCAUGUUUUGGUUGCACUGGUUAGUUGUUCAAGUGCAUGUAUUUCAGCCCAUCAUCAGGUUUCCACUAUUGUACAUUUCUCUUGCUACUUUGUUGUCUAAAUUAUAUUUUAUGAAACUAUUUGAACUCUUCAGCAGGCCAUUUGCUCUUUGUUGUUUCUCUUUAGGAGUUUCUUCGCGAUGCCACUUCCCACCUCAAAAGGCAUUGAUGUCGGUGAUCCAGUUUUUGUUCUGCGCUCUUUAGAGUACUGGUUUGUAUCUUCUGUAAUUUCACCGUGAUGUAUGAAGACUAUGAGCCGAGUAGAAAAUUGUUAAUAACAGCCGUUUACUGUCAGGUUUCAAACUAAUGUUUUUAUUAGGCUUUCCAACUAUGAUAAAUGCAUUAGUCUGCUCUCUUAGAAGUACAUCUAAUCAUGGGAUUGCUCUUCUGAUUCAAGGUUUCGGGAGUGGCUGAGAUUUGAAUAUUUUCUUUUAAGCAUCAAGCUUUCAUGUAAUGGAAUAUAAGUAUCUUUAAGUUGAUUCUAAAUCAAUCUCA